rnacentral:misc_RNA from 1 species
GAUGAAGAACGUAGCGAAAUGCGAUAAGUAAUGCGAAUUGCAGAAUCCGUGAAUCAUCGAAUCUUUGAACGCACAUUGCGCCCUUUGGUAUUCCAAAGGGCAUGCCUGUUCGAGCGUCAUUUGUACCCUCAAGCUUUGCUUGGUGUUGGGCGUCUUGUCUCUAGCUUUGCUGGAGACUCGCCUUAAAGUAAUUGGCAGCCGGCCUACUGGUUUCGGAGCGCAGCACAAGUCGCACUCUCUAUCAGCAAAGGUCUAGCAUCCACUAAGCCUUUUUUUCAACUUUUGACCUCGGAUCAGGUAGGGAUACCCGCUGAACUUAAGCAUAUCAAUAAGCGGAGGA